CAAGCAGCAUGAGGGAGGGAGGAGAGACAGAGGCAGCACCACGCAGAGCCAUUGGAAAACCUGUUUGGAUAUGUUGCUAAUCCAUACCCAGGAGUACAGCAGAACCAAUUUUACCUUGCUCCAUCAGACAUAAGUGGGACUAUAGUAGCCCCAAAGUAGCACUGAAUCACUUGCCGUUCAGUUUAUACAGACAUUCCCAGGUCCACCAACGAUCCUGGCACAGUGUGAAAAAUGACUCAAUGACCUACUCCACUCCACCAGGGGAUGGCAAAGAUUGGAAGAGACAGAACCUGUCAUAAGUAGAAGACCUUCUCCUUUAUUCCAUGCUAAUUCUAAUUCAG